CAAGAAUGGAUUAGGAAGAGGCAGGGGCGGGGCUACUUUGUGGACGGUGAGGAGAGGCGCACCUACUCUUACAUCAGAAAAUGGACCUGGCAACGGCAUUCCACCUUGUGUCUCCAUGAAUUUGACUGCUCUCACCCUUCAUAAAGAGAGUGCAAGCCAGGGGAGGAGCAGAGGGCGAGGAAGAGAAAGAAUCCUCAAGCAGACUCCCCACUGAUCACAGAGCCUGAUUUGGAGCUCCAGCCCAAGACCCUGAGAUCAUGACCUGAGACGAAGUCAAGAGUAGGAUGCUCAACCUACUGAGCCACCCACACACCCCACAAAAGUUUUUAAUUUUCCUAUAAUGCAAUUUAUGUAUUUUUCAUUUGUUUCCUGUGCUUUUGAUGUCAUA